rnacentral:rRNA from 1 species
AGUUGGUGGAGUGAUUUGUCUGGUUAAUUCCGUUAACGAACGAGACCCCCGCCUGCUAAAUAGCGUGGCUUACGCAUUCGCGUAGUUGGGCGCUUCUUAGAGGGACUUUCGGUGACUAACCGAAGGAAGUUGGGGGCAAUAACAGGU